rnacentral:rRNA from 1 species
UACGUAGGGUGCAAGCGUUCAUCGGAAUUACUGGGCGUAAAGCGUGCGCAGGCGGCUUUGCAAGACAGAUGUGAAAUCCCCGGGCUUAACCUGGGAACUGCAUUUGUGACUGCAUGGCUGGAGUGCGGCAGAGGGGGAUGGAAUUCCGCGUGUAGCAGUGAAAUGCGUAGAUAUGCGGAGGAACACCGAUGGCGAAGGCAAUCCCCUGGGCCUGUACUGACGCUCAUGCACGAAAGCGUGGGGAGCAAACAGG